GUGCCUGACGUCGGGGGCGAGCCGGGCCUGCGCGGUAGUGGGACCCGACCCUGUCUCCAGUGGGCGUCUUGGGCCCCGGCUCUAUUCUGGGCUGCGGGCCUGGGAAGGGCUCGCCGGGUGCCAAAUGAGCUGUCCUAACUCUGCGGGGCUGCAGCUUCCUGCAUGAUGCUGGGGAGCUUGGCGCCUGACCCAGGAUCUAGAAGGCACUCUGGGCAGGCCGCGCUCCGCCCACGAAGGUACCCAACCCUCUGGGAUAGAUGCAGGAAGCGAUGGUUAAGACCCAUUUUCACCCAACUUCUCGCCGCAGGUCUGGCUUACCACACGCUCCUCCCCAUUCCCAGUGAGCCGCUUUUUGCAGCACCAGGCGAACACUUACACCAGUGCUUUGUAAAGGAAUCUUAUUGUCCACCCCGUGUCUUGGCAAAAGAACAGUGAUCACACAGAUUCCUACUUGGGCUCUUUCCUUUAAUCUUCGGAGGCUGAGUUUGCCCAACUCAGGUAUGCCGCAGCACACUACAUCAUCUCGGGUCUCCUUGCUCUUCUGCAGCUCUUCAUUGCUACCCAAGUUAUUUGAAUACCCCAGGGAUGCUUACCCCCGGGCCUAUCUGAUGUCUUUUACUGUUGUGCCAAGAAAUGGAAUCUUUAACCAGAGUGGAGCUACCCAAGUUCUAGAAGAUCAUAAUGUGAUUGACUUAGUUUCACAGAUUAAUUCAUUUUGCUUUUACCUUCUGAAAUAAAAUAUACUGUUUCAUUUUUAAUUUUAAA
ensembl:lncRNA TP53TG1 TP53 target 1